rnacentral:lncRNA from 7 species
GUGAAAGCUUUGGCCUUUCCUCUUCCUUCCUGAUAGUGCCACAGCUUUGCCAGCUGGUAAGGGACUUUUCCAUGUCUCCACCUUGGAGAGAAGAGUGUGGUGUGCUCUGAUUUGAAUGAAGAAACAGGAUCAUUGUGGUCUGUUUUCCCCAUCCUUUGAGCCAUCCCAAUGCAGGAACCAAGAGAAGAAAUCUCAUUCUUUCUCUUCUGCCCUUGAAAAAGCUAGGUCCAGCAUGAAGCUCCAAAACUUCUAAACCCUGCAGAUAGAUGGUCUUCAGAAUAUGCAGUGGAGUUUAUCCAGUUUAACUCAGCCCAGCUGAUGCCAGCAGGUGGAGUUUCGCUGUGAGGUUUGUAAAGCUGCACCAUUCCCACUGGUCACUGAGGUCCUAACCAGUGCACUGCUGUGUGCAUGAAGUCCUGCUCUUAUCUGCUCAGUCUGGUAACUGAAAGUGCAAAGUGGCAAUUAGGUUCACCAUUAGCCCAUCAGCAAGUGCACAUUCAGGAUCAGAUCUACGUUUUGCAUGCCCAAGGCUGAGAGGUGCCAAUGGCUCUCCGUUACUGCUGGACAAGCAGUUAUGAAAAGUUGGCAUCCACAUAGAUCCGUGGCCGUGACAUGAGGAAACCUCCGCCACUUUGGCAAACAGCAUGCAAGUCCAGCAUAGGCCAUGGACCUUGUACAAUUGGGCUUUUAUCCCUGCUAAACUCUUAUUCUUCAGGUGGAUAAUUGUAUUGUCCUCAUCGGGAUUGUAACGGGGCUACCAGAUGAAUAUCCAGCUGCUUCCAUCCCUUUGAAGGAACAGUACACAAACCUGCAGCCUUAGCUCCCACCCUUACUACGGAAGGGGCUCAGCAUUCAGUCUGUAGGCAUAGCAGCAGAUUGGCAAGGUGACAUAACAACUAUUUGCAAGUCUACGUGCUGUCUGAAGUUACCAAAGUAAAUUGCACAGCAGUCUGCUUGGUAGUCCCUAAGAAGAUAAAGUGGUCAGUGCUGCUCUGCUUUGAAAAUAUCAGCCCUGCUUUGUGCAGAAUAUUGCAGACUGGCUGAAAUGUUGCCCAAGCAACAUCCACUCUUCAGCUGUACUUCUCACAGUGGCUUAAGCUGAAGAAGGAACAAGACCCAAGGAAGUGUUUGGAAAUCUCUCUUGCAUCCUCCCAGUCUGAGACCAACCAGAGCAGCUCCUGUUUGCAUUGGAUUUGUACAUCGUUGUCAUUGGAAGAAGAAACAUUCCAGUGUGAGAGGGAUCCUCAGCUGGCAAAGCUGUAUCUAGCAGAGGGCUUUGAACAAGCCCCGUGCAACUGAGAAAGAUGUUGGCUGAAAUGAACUGGAGGUCUUCCUCUUUAAUAUGGAUGUUAUGCUUGGUGCCAUGCAGACAGCGCUGGCAGGAGGACGAUUUCAGUCUCUGCUACAUCAAUAAAAACAAGGGGUUGUUUAAACUUGGCGUUGAC